AGUUAUUAAUGGGCUAUGGAAUCUGGGAUAUUCCUUAUUGAUUUUUUCCAUCUGUAGGAUCAAGUGUCUAAUACCGUAUUCAGUGUAACAGCAGCACAGCACCAGCAGAGGGAUAACUGUGACACACACUUUAACCAGAAGUGUGACUGUGUGUUUUGAGGGAAGUGGACUUGAUCAGGAGCGUCCAGGCUCUUCUGGAGAGAACUACAGCUCAGGUUGUCAGUCAGUCAGUCAGUCAGUCAUUAUUAAUCGCACCACUUCAGAAGACUGAAUGAUAAUCCUUUGAACUGUGUGUGUGUCAGCAUGAACAGAGAGGCCAAGCAGACGUUAGAGUCGGACUACAACUUUGAUGACCACAGUGGGAGAUACAAUAACAUGAGCCCAGAUACACAGCACCACCCCAGCUCAGCCACCAUGCAGGACCAGUGAGUGUGAAUAUCAUCUGAAUAUUACUGGAAUAUAUUGUCAUGCUCUAAUUUAUAAGAUGAAUCAAUGUUUAUUUCAAUUCUGUCAUGGUGGGCCACAGAGCCCCCCCGGUCCUUGUAUGCUUCUGUGUACCUGUCUCUCCUCGUGUGUUCUAGCUGUCCUCUGUCUGUCCUGGUGUGUGUGUGUGUGGGGGUGUGUGUCUGUGCUCUGGGCUGGCUUCCUGAUCUCCCGUCUGCGACUGAUUACCGGCACACCUGUCUUCAAUCAUCGCUGAUCGGCACGGUUCAUAUACCAGGCACCUUCACACCACCGAUGCCAGAUCGUCCCUAGUACAUCCACUCUCGCUCUGCCAGUGAUCACCGCCUCAGUUUGCCCGUCGGAUCAUCCGGACCUCAACUACCACGCCACUUUCGCCAUCCGGCCGAUCUUCGCCUCCGGACACUACUGGCUAUUCACACCCCUCGCCCGGCUUCAGUGAUCCUCCGCCUGGUCGGCUCAGCCUUCCCGUUCCGCUCGCCAGUCCGGAGCCAGCUCGCCUAGUCUCCGUCCGGAGUGUCGUUAGUCACGCCUCCGACUCGGUUCAGUCGGAUCCUCAGGGAGUCCACGGGUGACUCCGGAUCUAGCAUUCAUUCACACUUGCAAUAAUAUGCACAAUAAAAACCGUCCUAGGCCUAUUAAUCCA